rfam:Thermotalea metallivorans strain B2-1 AN619_contig000079, whole genome shotgun sequence.
UCCAUCGUGAGGUGGAAUCUGAAGGAAGCCCUAGGCAAAGUCUCGGUCUGAGGAACACGAACCACAUAUAAGGCUUCUUGGAACGGACGAGUUUGCAAGACAAAACAAAGUCCAACACUACACGAAUUUCAAGGAGUAAAUGGGGCAGAUAGAUGAGAUGAAGGUUAUCGUU